GACGAACGCUGGCGGCGUGCUUAACACAUGCAAGUCAAGGGGGGCUCAGGGGGCAACUCUGGGCAACCGGCGAACGGGUGCGUAACACGUGAGCAACCUGCCGAUCUCGCGGGGAUAGCCGGCCCAACGGCCGGGUAAUACCGCAUACGCUCGUUUGGGGACCUCCCUGGGCGAGGAAACCCUCCGGGGCAACCUGGGGGACGGAUCGAGGGGCUCGCGGCCUAUCAGCUAGUUGGUGCGGGGUAACGGCCCACCAAGGCGACGACGGGUAGCUGGUCUGAGAGGAUGGCCAGCCACAUUGGGACUGAGAGACGGCCCAGACUCCUACGGGAGGCAGCAGUGGGGAAUCUUGCGCAAUGGCCGAAAGGCUGACGCAGCGACGCCGCGUGUGGGAUGAAGC
rnacentral:rRNA from 1 species